CGUGUACUCCCUCCGUCCGAAAAUACUUGUCAUUGAAAUGGAUGUAUCUAGAUGUAUUUUAGUUCUAGACACAUCCAUUUUGAUGACAAGUAAUUCCGGACGGAGGGAGUACUUG
rnacentral:pre_miRNA from 1 species